rnacentral:lncRNA from 1 species
AAGAAUUCACAUUUAUUGAAAGAGCACUUAUCAAGAGUCGAAUGUACAUAAUAUAUUUCAAAGUGUAAAACUGAUUAGAUUAAAUGUUAAAUCAAAAACUAUUUCCAUCACCUCCCAAAAGAAAACAAAAAACACCUCUCACCUUUCUCAGCCAGGGUGCAGCAAAGGAGACAGAGGAAGAUUGCACAACACAGACAGAGUGCAGACAUCGUGCUAAAACAACAAGAGCUUCACAACUAACAAAUAGCAGGAAAUAGACAGUAUGUCUAUACCACAGUGAUGUCUGCUCUAGAACCACUCCACCAAUAGGAACACGAAGUAGGCCUACUUUACAGUUAGGUUCUGAACAAAUGAGGUAGGCAUAAUAAACCAAGACAUUACAAAAUAACAUAAAGAGAAUCAAGACCUGAACUUAUUUCAGUUGCAAUUGUGGGUGUCAGUAUGUGACAGAAUCAUAUGUUAGGGAAUCAUAGGUUAGGGAUAAAUGAGGUUUAACAACAAAACAUAAUUAUUUGAUUUGAACUUUUACUUCACUACAUUCCAAAACAAAAUAUGUACUUUUUACUCCAUACAUUUCCCCUGACACCUGUGGAGGAAAUGAAUAUUCAUGACAUACUAUACUGUUUAAUUAGACAUAGAAUGCUGUUUUCUACGUAAAGAUUGUCCAUUGUUAAAUGCUAGUAUUUUUUAUAACCUGAUACAAAGUUGCCUUUGUGUGACUUAGUCACAAGACUGGGUGAUUUCGUAAGAACCGUUUGGGUGUGACCGCAGCAUGUGACACAUCCCGUGGUUUUCUGCAGGAACUCAGCUGUAUGGGAAGUUGCAGGAAGGAGCACAUUAUAGUGUGAACUGUGACAAACGCAGUUACAUGGUUGAGCCCUUGUGCUAUCAACCUCCGGCUAUCUUAAUCUGCACUGACAAACCAAUCGCCUUUUAGACACUAUGCUCCGCCCAUUUCCACCCAUCUGCUAAACUGCCACAAAGACAGAGGUUGCAUUUUCUAUAAAAGCUGAGAGCCAACGCUAUUCGUUGGGCUUUCUGACUAUGCACUGUUGAGUGAUUGUCAUUUAUUGCUUCAUUUUUACAAAUCUUAUAAUAAAGUUAUUUGAUAGAAUCUGCAGUCUCUCUUCCUAUAGAAUGUCUACCACACACCCAAAAGUACUGGUUACAUUUCAAAUGCUUAGCAGGACAGGAAAGCUGCCCAAUUCAAACAAACAUCCCUGGUAAUCCUUACUGCCUCCGAUCUGGCGGACUCACCAAACACAAAUUAUUCAUUUGUAAAUUACGUCUGAGUGGUGGCUAUCCGUAAAUAAAUGUUUAAAAAAUAAAUAAAAAAUGGUGCAGUCUGGUUUGCUGUAUAUUUUAGCAAUUACAUUUACCUUCGAUAAUUAAGUAUAUUUAAAACCAAAUACUUUUAGACAAGUAGUAUUUUACUGGGUGGCUUUCACCUUUACUUGAGUCAUUUUCUAUUAAGGUAUCUUUACUUUUACUCAAGUAUGACACUGGGUAUUUGUUCCACCACUGUUGGAUUCUGGGGUAAACUUUGAACAUUGUUAUACUCAGAAGUAUAGGAACAUUAGUUACAUAAGAGACAUGAAGCGUGCCAUAAUGAAGUUUGGGAGGGGCUGAGUGCAGGGAAAACAAUCGCAUGUGACAGUACUGAUAUCACUUAGUUCCCUGCUUAGCAAGAAUGACGCAAUGUUUAGCGAUAAGGUGGAGACUCCACCCAAAGUUGGGUAUGAAUACUACCACGGGGGAGGCCAUGUCUGUGUCUGAAUUACAGCUGUAUUGACCCUUUGGGAAGAAUUAAACUUGGUUAAGCUUCUCUAGUGUCUGAGUUAUUUACUCAAAAUUAGAACCUAACAUUACAUAACAUAUCCUCUAGUCCCAGACAUGAUAGAGGUGAAUGGUUCACUACAUAACAUAUCCUCUAGUCCCAGACAUGAUAGAGGUGAAUGGUUCACUACAUAACAUAUCCUCUAGUCCCAGACAUGAGAGGUGAAUGAUUCACUACAUAACAUAUCCUCUAGUCCCAGACAUGAGAGGUAAAUGAUUCACUACAUAACUUAUUCUCUAGUCCCAGAAAUGAGAGGUGAAUGGUUCACUACAUAACAUAUCCUCUAGUCCCAGACAUGAGAGGUGAAUGGUUCACUACAUAACAUAUUCUCUAGUCCCAGACAUGAGAGGUGAAUGAUUCAAGUAUUCUAUAUCAGCUAUGUUUUUUUUAAAAGGCAGUAAAUGAGGAUGGCAGUAAACUUAACCUGGGUAUGUGGUAAGCUGAUCCUCCAGACAGUGGAAGUUAAGCUUUCUACACAUUUCUGUACUGAAUGAAAUAUUAUCACUACCUUUAUAAAACAAUGUCUAUCUUUAUUUUCCAAACACAAUUCAACACAAUCACUUUGUCUUUUAAUGAUUUUAAGCAUAUUUUAUCACAGGCUUAACACCUUACAAAGGCUUUGUACUUUUUAAAACAUUUUUAACAUAGGCCACCCCUGUUGUCAAAUCAAAAUUGUAUUUGUCACAUGCGCUGAAUACAACAGGUGUAGACCUUACAAUGAAAUGCUUACUUACAAGCCCUUAACCAACAUUGCUUUAAGAAGUUAAGAAGAAAAACGUGUUAACAUAGAUAAAAGUAACAAACAGCAGCAGUAAAAUAACAAUAGCGAGGCUAUAUACAGGGGGAACCGGUACAGUAAAUGUGCGGCAAUUUUGUGAAACUCAUGAGAGACAAUACGGCCACAUUACCAUAACGCUGUUUAUAUAAUAGCCUCAGGGCACCGCUUGCAAGCCUCCCUUUUUCCUCCUAACAUAACGAUGGUCAUUAAUGCCAAAGAGUUCUAUUUCUGUUUCAUCAGACUAGAGGACAUUUCUCCAAAAAGUACGAUAUUUGUCCACAUGUGCAGUUGCAAAUCGUAGUUUUAAUAGCAGUUUUGGAGCAGUGGCUUCUUCCUUGCUGAGCGGCCUUUCAGGUGUCAUGACAUUGCCCUCUUUGGACACAGCGAGCACCAUCUCCCUCUGUCUCCUACACCCAGGCUGCUGUGUUCAGAGAGGUCGUAAAUUCCUGGAGGAGACUAUCUCCUCAUGGCCACAGUAUAGAGAGUGAGUUUUUAUAGAGAGAACAAAGGAAUUUCUUCCACCUCACAGAACUGGAGGUCCGAACAAUAUUUAUGUUCUGGAGAAUGUAUAAAAGAUUGGUGAAGAAUCCAGCUACGAACUGGUCCGUUUGGUACAAUUUUGUGAAACUCAUGAGAGACAAUACGGCCACAUUACCAUAACGCUGUUUAUAUAAUAGCCUCAGUUAUGAGGCUUACAUCUAAUUGUUGUAUAAAAUGAAUGAGUGAGGAUGGAACUGUUUGUGAAAUUGUGUAAUGUGAUUUUGGACUGUUUAAUGAAGGAAACUCCAAUUCCCUUUUGGAGUUUAACUAAUCAGAGGACCACCCAUGAGCACAGUUAUGGUCUGGUGUCAUGGGACUGGCCCUUUUCUGCUCUUCUAAAUAAAAUCCCCACCUAGGUUUUCUAUCACCAGACCAGCUUACCUCGAUAACGAGAGGGCUAAGGUUUGAGACGAGACCAGCUUACCUUGAUAAUGAGGGGCAAGGUUUGAGAGGAGGCCAAGCUUACCUCAAUUACGAGAUGGCUAAAGGUUGCAGACCAUGCAUUUCUCUUGCUGAACUUUUAACCAUACCAUGUGGUUAAACUCUUAGACUAUCGAUACCGACAGAAUAAGAACAAGUCUUUGAUAUUAAUUACUAGUCUGCAGCUAGGAAUUCGGUAUCAUUGAACGCGAAGACCGACAACCGCCAAAACAGCUAAUCUAUAACGUCAUGAAUGAAUGUUACUCUGAACUAUCCAUUCUAACCACAACAGAGAGAGAGACAGAGAGGACAGAGACAGAGAGGACAGACUCUCCAACAGAAACAAACUUUUCAACAGAGAUCCCGAUGACACACUGAACUCUAACAUCAGGUUUUAGUCACAAUAUAUGAAAGAAUAGUCUGGUGUGGUUAACAACUACAGACAAUGCUGUUAACACUUAGCUUGGUAGCAGGAUAAUGCAUGCACUCCAUUUCUCCUGCAGAGGGGGAACACAAUAGUGUUGAACCAGAUUGUUCUCUCUUCCAGGCAAAGCAUUAACAUUCAGUUAGCUGUGUGGCGUGAGAGACAGAGCAGACAUGACACCGACAGGGAAGAGAGCCCAUAACACUCCGGAUAAUACAUCUGUCGCUACGGAAACAGUCCUGUCCUGGUGCUGGAGUCGUGCUCUGCUGGGACUGCUGUAUCCUCAGGCUCUGGUUCCAUAGGGGACAAUAGGAAUACCAACACUGUUAUACACCAUUUUACCACACACAUUUUAUACACUGCAUUUUACUAUGAAUUUGAUCGUUUUGACAGGAAUCCCUCUUCGAUUAGGUAGACAAAAAUAAUAUACUCAAACAUUCUGCCACAAAAGAGUCUUCCUGUGCCACUGGUUCAUCUGGAAAGAGAAACCAGAAGCAACCUUUUACAGGGGUUGAUACUGUGUGCUCUACCAUGUUUUGUGAUUUGUUACAGAGACAAUUGAAUAACAAAUCCUGAAUUCCCAUCUGGGGAGGAGAAGGAGAGCAAUAGAGAAACUAAAACAAUAAAAACUAAACUAAGUGAUCUUGUCGAGGAGUUAGUUCUCCAUUCCACUUAUAUAGCAACAUCCUGGCAUUUAGCCAGAACAGAAAGUACUCUCCUAAUCUUCCCAGACCUCUGCAUUCCUCUCGGCAGAGAUUGUCAAAUGCAAGGUCGUGUUCACUAGGCACGAAAUGGAAAGAAGCAGUCUGAAAUGGGGAGGAACUAUCUGAAUAACUUCUUGAAGCAUUUUGCAACAGUGUGUCCUAAUGGACAUGACCCUGGGUGCUCAUGUUGUCUGAGUCUUCUGGCUUGAAACAGCUUGAGAAGCAGCAGUCCAAUGGCAAGAGAGCCUACUACCACAAAUACAGCAGUCACAUUCUUGUAACUGUUCUUUGGAAUUUCCUUUUGAUUUGCAGCAUUCUCAGGAACCUGGUGCUGGUCUCAUACUGUAACACACAAAAUCAGAAUCAUUAAAAAUGAAAAUCAUGUCACAUUCAGGUAUGCGAUCAGGGAUGCAAUGAAUUAAGUCAUGUUUGUAGGGUGAGUCAAUUUAUAUUGGAUACUAAUAGAUGAUAAUGUCAGAAAAGCAAGAUUUCUUGAUGGAUCAUCUGCACAGUGGAAAUCAUGAUGCAAAAAGGAGAAUACUAAACAGUCAGUGUUAGAGUGUGAGGAAGGCACUUUGAAUUCCAAACUAUGUGUUAAGCCCUUAGUUUUUCCUGACUGGGAAAUACUCAGGGCCCUACCUAUAAACAUUGGCCUCCAAAAGCUUUGAGCUCACCUGUGACCUUCAGCAUGAAGUUACAAUUUGUGUUUCCACUGUCAGUGUUCACCACACACUCAUACGGACCCUCUUCUUCAGGCUGGGUUUCUUUAACCAACAGGGACACAACUUUGUCUCUCAUUGGCAGGUGGCAUGGAAAGCUGAUAUUUUGGGCUCAGCAGCAUCCUGGGAUUGGAGGAUUGUAUAUAUAUAUGUGAACACAGGUUCACCUUUGUAAUGACCAUUCUGGUCCAGCCUCCACAACCUGCUUUAUGUUUACAUUACCAGGGGAUUCCUCACUGAACUUCACAGAGCAGUCUAGGACUGCAUCCUUCCCAGAUUCCACCUGGAUGACCUGCUUCAACUCUGAGCGCUGGUUUAGAC